AGGUGGGGUAGGGGGGAAAGUCUGAAUUGUCGCUGGGCUUUCUCAGCUGCAGGGGAAACGAGGAAGAAGCUGAGAUUGAGAACUAUAAAGAGGCUAUUUCAUAAGUAUAACAAAGAAAAUAAAUCGCCGCGGGUAGGUAGGGUUAGGCAUUUUCUUUUGUUGCAUUGCUUUCAGAGAGCCAUGUUAUUUUUACGUGUAUAAGAAAAGCAUGUGACCCCCCUUCCUGAUUUAUUUUGUGUGUCAUUGCAAGUACUACCUUAAGCGGAUGGUGGUGCAAUUAUGAAAAUCUUACCCUGUUGAACUUCCUCGCGUUUCUUGAUUUUUGAUACGGGAGGGUUGCAGAUGAUUCUGUCAUGCUUUCUGGGCGUCUUCAUUUGGUGCUUUGCAAGUAUUACAGCCUUUCCGUGAAAUGGUGGAACAAAUUAUAUUGAGUUAUAAAUACUCCAGGAACGGUGGUGUCCUUUGUUUUUAGAGGCUGUGGUUUUGGGGGCGGAAAUGCAGCAGGUACAGCACAUGAGGGAGCUCUAGAUUGUUUUUUAGUCUGUGUUCUGAGUAACUUGGAUGGGUCAAGGUUCCUCUUCUGGGUGUAGAGAGAAAGCUGGUCCAUGGUAGUUCUUGUUUCUUUGCAACAUGUAUGCUUGAGCCUGCUCCCCUUUUCUUGCUUAUUUGCCUGAAAUUCUACAUAGGGGGUACUUUUUCUUCUUCCAUCAAAGUUGAUGCUUUACUGUUUCUAGUCAUUGUGUCCUGUGGCUGGCGGUUGCAGAUAACUCUUGUACUUUCUGGACAUCUUUGGCUCAGUAGUAGAGCAUACAUCUUGCGUGUAGAAAGUCCCAGGUUCAAUCCCUGCCAGGAUCUCCAAGUAGCCCUGAGAAGACUCCUGGCUAAAACCUAGAGAGCCCCUGCUGGUGAGUGUGUAGGCAACAAUAUAAGAGACUUGAAGGCCUCAUUAUGUGUUCUUGAAGGGGUUGCUUAAACAGUUGAUGGAUAUGUUUUAUUCUGGAAAUUUGAGCAUUCUUGAAAGGCUCUCGCAGUGCUGCUGGUGUAGCUGUUUAUCUUUGUGAUGGGGCUCUGUGCUAUUUUGGAAGCUCAAGCAGGUGCUCUGAACUUGCUGUGCCAUGCUGCCAAUUACAGAUCCCAUUCUGGCCCUGGAAGCUGAGAAAUGGUGUGAUGCUGUCAUUCUAGUGGGGCUUGCAUCUGAAUUGUACUCAUGAAAGCCGCCUGUGAUGCUGCUAUCAUGGCAGUUGAUCCUCGUGGCCAUUUGACAAGCUCAAGGCUGAAUUGGACUUCACCGGGAAAUGUUAAUCUACAUAUUGCAGGUCCAGGAUAUUCACACAGAUAAUUCCUUUUCGUGAUAUUUUAUUGAUCAUCUUAAAGAAAAACAUCCUGUAGAUAAAACUGGAAUAGUGGUCUUCUAAGAGAAUCAAAUAUCUAUUGCUUUCAUCACAGGGUAUAAUAUCACCUGAAGUGUUGGAGAUCUCCAAAACAGACCUGGAGAGGCGCAGGUGGGAGACAGCACUACAUUAUCAGGGGAGAGACUGACUCUAAUGAAGAGAAGCUAUGUUGCCGAAAAUGGAUACCAAUGUCACUGCAAGAAUGACCACUUAGCUUCUCAUGAUGUGAUGUGGAAAAGCGAUCCUGUUGCAUGUUCUUGUGCUUGGCCAGUCCUGCACUGGCAACUCAAACAGUGUAACAAAAAAUCCUUUGUUAGGGGUUAUGUGUUCUGAGUAUAGCUGCUGGAGAGGGGUGUGAACUGUUCAAUAAGAUUCAGAUAGAUGGUGAAAUGCAAGUUCUUAUGACAGAAAAUUUUUUCUGUGUUACUGCUUCAUACGCAGCUUCUUUUUUUCCCCUUGCAACUUCUAUUGGUUUCAUACUUUGAGAAUUCCUUAGCAUGUUCAUUACCAAUAAAAUUUAUUCUUCUGUGAA